UACGGGGGGGGCAAGCGUUGUUCGGAAUUACUGGGCGUAAAGGGCUCGUAGGCGGCCAACUAAGUCGGAUGUGAAAUCCCCAGGCUCAACUUGGGAACUGCAUCCGAUACUGGAUGGCUUGAAUUCGGGAGAGGGAUGCAGAAUUCCAGGUGUAGCGGUGAAAUGCGUAGAUAUCUGGAGGAACACCGGUGGCGAAGGCGGCAUCCUGGACCAAUUCUGACGCUGAGGAGCGAAAGCUAGGGGAGCAAACGGG
rnacentral:rRNA from 1 species